rnacentral:lncRNA from 1 species
UUGAGAUUUUGAGUUAUUUCUACCUACAAAAGAGCAUAUUUGAAGGCCACCAAAGAACAUAUCCCAAUGGCAAGCUUGGAGGAAUCGAGAGAAGAAGACGGAUAGAAUAAUGAGCUUGCAGAAGUUGAGACACUUAAGGAAAGAUGCAGAAACGAGUGCAAGCUGAGUAGAAGUAGAGGGCCAAGUGUAGGAAACGAAAGUGCUGGUGGAGAAGUAUAUUCGGUGUGACGCCAAAUGCGCGAGAGAAGAAAGGGAGAAAAGUUGAGAAAAAAUUAAUAUCCCAUAAAUUUAAAAA